AGUUUGAUCCUGGCUCAGGACGAACGCUGGCGGCGUGCCUAAUACAUGCAAGUCGAACGAACGGAUAAGGAGCUUGCUCUUUUGAAGUUAGUGGCGGACGGGUGAGUAACACGUGGGUAACCUGCCUCACAGCUGGGGAUAACAUCGAGAAAUCGAUGCUAAUACCGAAUGUGCUGAACAUCAUAAGAUGUUCAAGUGAAAGACGGUUUCGGCUGUCACUGUGAGAUGGACCCGCGCUGGAUUAGCUAGUUGGUAAGGUAAUGGCUUACCAAGGCGACGAUCCAUAGCCGACCUGAGAGGGUGAUCGGCCACAUUGGGACUGAGACACGGCCCAAACUCCUACGGGAGGCAGCAGUAGGGAAUCUUCGGCAAUGGACGAAAGUCUGACCGAGCAACGCCGCGUGAGCGAAGAAGGCCUUCGGGUCGUAAAGCUCUGUUGUUAGAGAAGAACAUGGGUGAGAGUAACUGUUCACCCCUUGACGGUAUCUAACCAGAAAGCCACGGCUAACUACGUGCCAGCAGCCGCGGUAAUACGUAGGUGGCAAGCGUUGUCCGGAAUUAUUGGGCGUAAAGCGCGCGCAGGCGGUCUCUUAAGUCUGAUGUGAAAGCCCCCGGCUCAACCGGGGAGGGUCAUUGGAAACUGGGAGACUUGAGGACAGAAGAGGAGAGUGGAAUUCCAAGUGUAGCGGUGAAAUGCGUAGAUAUUUGGAGGAACACCAGUGGCGAAGGCGGCUCUCUGGUCUGUUACUGACGCUGAGGCGCGAAAGCGUGGGGAGCAAACAGGAUUAGAUACCCCGGUAGU
rnacentral:rRNA from 1 species